UGGGGAAUAUUGCACAAUGGGCGCAAGCCUGAUGCAGCCAUGCCGCGUGUGUGAAGAAGGCCUUCGGGUUGUAAAGCACUUUCAGCGGGGAGGAAGGCGAUAAGGGUAAUAACCUUGUCGAUUGACGUCACCGGCAGAAGAAGCACCGGCCAACUCCGUGCCAGCAGCCGCGGUAAUACGGAGGGUGCAAGCGUUAAUCGGAAUUACUGGGCGUAAAGCGGACGCAGGCGGUUUGUUAAGUCAGAUGUGAAAUCCCCGGGCUCCACCUGGGAACUGCAUCUGAUACUGGCAAGCUUGAGUCUCGUAGAGGGGGGUAGAAUUCCAUGUGUAGCGGUGAAAUGCGUAGAGAUCUGGAGGAAUACCGGUGGCGAAGGCGGCCCCCUGGACGAAGACUGACGCUCAGGUGCGAAAGCGUGGGGAGCAAACAGG
rnacentral:rRNA from 1 species